AUGUCUAUUGAAAGGAGAGACGGUAACUCCCCAUGACGAGAAUGGAACACAAUAAAAUGGUGAAGGCACUACUUUUGUCAGGGCAUCACACUAGCAU